rnacentral:rRNA from 1 species
CCUGGCUCACGACGAACGCUGGCGGCGCGCCUAACACAUGCAAGUCGAACGAGCGAGAGAGAGCUUGCUUUCUCGAGCGAGUGGCGAACGGGUGAGUAACGCGUGAGGAACCUGCCUCAAAGAGGGGGACAACAGUUGGAAACGACUGCUAAUACCGCAUAAGCCCACGGGUCGGCAUCGACCAGAGGGAAAAGGAGCAAUCCGCUUUGAGAUGGCCUCGCGUCUGAUUAGCUAGUUGGUGAGGUAACGGCCCACCAAGGCGACGAUCGGUAGCCGGACUGAGAGGUUGAACGGCCACAUUGGGACUGAGACACGGCCCAGACUCCUACGGGAGGCAGCAGUGGGGAAUAUUGCACAAUGGGGGAAACCCUGAUGCAGCGACGCCGCGUGGAGGAAGAAGGUCUUCGGAUUGUAAACUCCUGUUGUUGGGGAAGAUAAUGACGGUACCCAACAAGGAAGUGACGGCUAACUACGUGCCAGCAGCCGCGGUAAAACGUAGGUCACAAGCGUUGUCCGGAAUUACUGGGUGUAAAGGGAGCGCAGGCGGGAAGACAAGUUGGAAGUGAAAUCUAUGGGCUCAACCCAUAAACUGCUUUCAAAACUGUUUUUCUUGAGUAGUGCAGAGGUAGGCGGAAUUCCCGGUGUAGCGGUGGAAUGCGUAGAUAUCGGGAGGAACACCAGUGGCGAAGGCGGCCUACUGGGCACCAACUGACGCUGAGGCUCGAAAGUGUGGGUAGCAAACAGGAUUAGAUACCCUGGUAGUCCACACCGUAAACGAUGAUUACUAGGUGUUGGAGGAUUGACCCCUUCAGUGCCGCAGUUAACACAAUAAGUAAUCCACCUGGGGAGUACGACCGCAAGGUUGAAACUCAAAGGAAUUGACGGGGGCCCGCACAAGCAGUGGAGUAUGUGGUUUAAUUCGACGCAACGCGAAGAACCUUACCAAGUCUUGACAUCCCUUGACGAUGCUGGAAACAGUAUUUCUCUUCGGAGCAAGGAGACAGGUGGUGCAUGGUUGUCGUCAGCUCGUGUCGUGAGAUGUUGGGUUAAGUCCCGCAACGAGCGCAACCCUUAUGGUCAGUUACUACGCAAGAGGACUCUGGCCAGACUGCCGUUGACAAAACGGAGGAAGGUGGGGAUGACGUCAAAUCAUCAUGCCCUUUAUGACUUGGGCUACACACGUACUACAAUGGCGUUAAACAAAGAGAAGCAAGACCGCGAGGUGGAGCAAAACUCAGAAACAACGUCCCAGUUCGGACUGCAGGCUGCAACUCGCCUGCACGAAGUCGGAAUUGCUAGUAAUCGUGGAUCAGCAUGCCACGGUGAAUACGUUCCCGGGCCUUGCACACACCGC